GUGGGGAAUAUUGGGCAAUGGGCGAAAGCCUGACCCAGCAAUGCCGCGUGAAGGAAGAAGGCCUUCGGGUUGUAAACUUCUUUUAUCAGGGACGAAGGAUGUGACGGUACCUGAUGAAUAAGCUCCGGCUAACUACGUGCCAGCAGCCGCGGUAAUACGUAGGGAGCAAGCGUUAUCCGGAUUUACUGGGUGUAAAGGGCGCGUAGGCGGGAUGGCAAGUCAGAUGUGAAAUCCAUGGGCUCAACCCAUGAACUGCAUUUGAAACUGUUAUUCUUGAGUACUGGAGAGGUUGACGGAAUUCCUAGUGUAGCGGUGAAAUGCGUAGAUAUUAGGAGGAACACCAGUGGCGAAGGCGGUCAACUGGACAGCAACUGACGCUGAGGCGCGAAAGCGUGGGGAGCAAACAGGAUUAGAAACCCUAGUAGUCC
rnacentral:rRNA from 1 species